GGAGGAGAAAGACCAUUCCCCUUCCCGUCAAGUCUUGGGGAGGUGUACAAUGUUCCGUGUGAAAAGAAAGGUGGAGGAAGACGGCGUUUCUGAUCCGCCGGAGGUUUUUAUACGGUAACCAAAAAUAUUCCAAUCGAAUCCUGCUGACAACCCAGCGUUUCCGUGUUGUCCCACGGAACGGAAGCUGUAACGAUCG